GGGCCCGCACAAGCGGUGGAGUAUGUGGUUUAAUUCGAUGCAACGCGAAGAACCUUACCAGGGUUUGACAUCCUGCGAAUUUCUGGGAAACCGGAAAGUGCCUUCGGGAGCGCAGUGACAGGUGGUGCAUGGCUGUCGUCAGCUCGUGUCGUGAGAUGUUGGGUUAAGUCCCGCAACGAGCGCAACCCACGUCUUUAGUUGCCAGCGGGUAAUGCCGGGGACUCUAGCGAGACUGCCGUUGUCAAAACGGAGGAAGGUGGGGACGACGUCAAGUCAUCAUGGCCCUUAUGGCCUGGGCUACAAACGUGCUACAAUGCUACGGACAAAGGGCAGCAAGUUCGCGAGGACAAGCAAAUCCCAUAAACCGUGGCUCAGUUCAGAUCGUAGGCUGCAACUCGCCUACGUGAAGGCGGAAUCGCUAGUAAUCGC
rnacentral:rRNA from 1 species